rnacentral:lncRNA from 1 species
UGUUCUCACACACAUGUUGCAUACUAGGGAACAAACAUAAUUAAACAACUUGGCCAGACGGACCAACCUGCUCUGAUACCACUAAUGUAACACCCCUUUUUCUACCCCAAAAUACUUAACAUCUAAUCAGAGUAAAUAAGCGCGCAUAUAAACCGAAGGGCGUUACAUCGACGUUUUCAAAAACUAAAAGCUUUCAAAAACCAAACAUCAUUCAUCAUCAAUAUGCAAUACACCUGGUCAUUUAAAUAAC